rfam:Candidatus Jorgensenbacteria bacterium RIFCSPLOWO2_12_FTLL_42_11 rifcsplowo2_12_scaffold_48186, whole genome shotgun sequence.
GCGCGAUUAGCUUAGUGGUAGAGCGCUGCGUUCACAUCGCAGAGGUCGCAGGUUCGAUCCCUGCAUCGCGCA